rnacentral:rRNA from 1 species
UACGGGGGGAGCAAGCGUUGUUCGGAUUUACUGGGCGUAAAGGGCGCGUAGGCGGUCAGCACAAGUCAGUUGUGAAAUCUCCGGGCUUAACUGGGAGGGUGCGGCGGAAACUGGAGUGCUUGAGCGCGGGAGAGGAAAGCGGAAUUCCUGGUGUAGCGGUGAAAUGCGUAGAUAUGACAUAGAACACCGAUAGCGAAGGCAGCUUGCUACACAAUUAUUGACACUGAGGCUCGAAAGCGUGGGGAUCAAACAGG